rnacentral:rRNA from 1 species
CCUAGGGAGCGCAGCAGUGGGGAAUAUUGGACAAUGGGCGAAAGCCUGAUCCAGCCAUGCCGCGUGUGUGAAGAAGGCCUUCGGGUUGUAAAGCACUUUCAGUGGGGAAGAAAGCCUUGGGGCUAAUACCCUCGAGGAAGGACAUCACCCACAGAAGAAGCACCGGCUAACUCCGUGCCAGCAGCCGCGGUAAUACGGAGGGUGCGAGCGUUAAUCGGAAUUACUGGGCGUAAAGCGCGCGUAGGCGGUCUGAUAAGCCGGUUGUGAAAGCCCCGGGCUCAACCUGGGAACGGCAUCCGGAACUGUCAGGCUAGAGUGCAGGAGAGGAAGGUAGAAUUCCCGGUGUAGCGGUGAAAUGCGUAGAGAUCGGGAGGAAUACCAGUGGCGAAGGCGGCCUUCUGGACUGACACUGACGCUGAGGUGCGAAAGCGUGGGUAGCAAACAGGAUUAGAUACCCCUUGUAGUC